UACGUAGGUGACCAGCGUUGUCCGGAUUUACUGGGCGUAAAGAGCGCGCAGGCGGUCGUUCAAGUCGAGUGCGAAAGCCCCCGGCUCAACUGGGGAGGGUCACUCGAUACUGAUCGACUUGAAGGCAGGAGAGGGAAGCGGAAUUCCCGGUGUAGUGGUGAAAUGCGUAGAUAUCGGGAGGAACACCAGUGGCGAAGGCGGCUUCCUGGCCUGUUCUUGACGCUGAGGCGCGAAAGUUAGGGGAGCAAACGGG
rnacentral:rRNA from 1 species